rnacentral:rRNA from 1 species
ACUCCUACGGGAGGCAGCAGUAGGGAAUCUUCCGCAAUGGACGAAAGUCUGACGGAGCGACGCCGCGUGAGUGAUGAAGGCCUUCGGAUCGUAAAGCUCUGUUGUUAGGGAAGAACAAGUGCAAGAGUAACUGCUUGCACCUUGACGGUACCUAACCAGAAAGCCACGGCUAACUACGUGCCAGCAGCCGCGGUAAUACGUAGGUGGCAAGCGUUGUCCGGAAUUAUUGGGCGUAAAGGGCUCGCAGGCGGUCCUUUAAGUCUGAUGUGAAAGCCCCCGGCUCAACCGUGGAGGGUCAUUGGAAACUGGGAAACUUGAGUGCAGAAGAGGAGAGUGGAAUUCCACGUGUAGCGGUGAAAUGCGUAGAGAUGUGGAGGAACACCAGUGGCGAAGGCGACUGUCUGGUCCGGNUCUGACNCUGAGGCGCGAAAGCGUGGGGAGCAAACAGGAUUAGAUACCCUGGUAGUCCACGCUGUAAACGAUGAAUGCUAAGCGUUGGGGGCAUGCAUACCUCAGUGGCGCCGCUAACGCAUUAAGCAUUCCGCCUGGGGAGUACGGUCGCAAGANUGAAACUCAAAUGAAUUGACAGA